CCUUCUGCUGCGUUCUGCAACUUUAAAAGCCUUCCUUGGGGUUCUGAGCAAGGAUGUCUGACUCGAAUGACCUGAGAUUUGGACAUUUUCCCGUUUUCUCUCAAGUGUAGCUUUAAUAUUGUGAGUUUAAAUUCACCAAAAGAGGCCCAGAUAUCAAGUCGAGUGAAUUUCACAGCAUCAUCUUCUGUUUUAAUCGUUUCUGAAGUCAUAUCCUUUAGGGUGAACCCACAACAAUGCAGGUCAGAGAGACUGCGCGCCCUAAAGCAAACCAGUUAAAAUGUCAGGCCAGAUCUUCAAGCUGCAGGAUUGCAAGCAGCUCAUAAACUUCCAGUCCCCAUCCUGAGACAAGGCGUGUGACUUAAGGACCUGCUUGCACUCCCGCUCUCCACACCCUGUCCCCUGCCCGCACCUGCCCAAAUGGCCUCCUUCCUCUAGAACCUGGACGGUGGGGAAGCGUGCUCCUGAUGCCCCGGGGUGGGUGCAGGGCGGGGGACCAGCAAAGGAGACCCAAGGGCGCUAGAACCCGGGAGCACAAACCACCCUUAGAGCCUGAGGGACCCUCAGAUUCGUGGGAGACCACAGGCACCCGCAGAGGCAGUUUUCCUCCCCUGAACAAUGCUAGUUCUUCUCGGCCCCAGGAUCUCCACUAAUGUGUCUUUCCGCUUCCUCACAGGACUCCAAGCUGCCCUCCCCUCUGCCGCAUCUGAGGCUGGAAAAACUUCCUAUAAGAAGAGAAAGCCACCAGUACGAUGUGGCUUGAAGACUCUGGAAAGUCACAGACCAGACCCUGCAGAAGGUUCCUCGUGUGUGCCUGGGCAACCUUGCCUCCAUCCUCUGGCCCCAGUUCCUGCCACUCACGUGCAGGUAAGGCUGCGGAAGGCUAGGGACAGGGCUCCAAGUCAGAGGCCGGCUUUUUGGAGAUGUGGCUGUGGGAGGGGAAUCCCAGGAAGUUGCAUAGAGAGUUUCUGCCAGCCUGGGUCACUGAUGGCUAGUCCAGGUCACUGAUGUCUCCCCAGGGGCGGGGGGACAGUGCCUGGCUAAUUGUGGGUGUUCAAAAUCUGUCUGCUGAGGGGAUGUAGAGGGCAUCAUUGGGGGGCAGAGCUGAUGAUCCAUGGAAGCUCUGGGCACAGAUUGGGCCUCUCUUCCCUGCACAAAGAACUCUCCAGGAUACCCAGUGGUUCUGGCCAGUGCUAGAGCCAGUGACCCUUGGCUUGCUCUGGCCUUUCCCCCCUUCUUUCCCCCCUUCUCACACACGCAUUCACUUGCACACGUGUCACACACAUUCCUACACACUCAAAUUCCCAGAAUCAAUCUCACACACACAUGCAAAUCACACAUACUUACACGCGAUUCACACGAUUCACAGAUGUGAUAGACUCACAGGUACUCACUCUUACACAUGACACAGUUGCACACUUGCAGCAGCGCACACACACACACUGCAAUCCCCUUGCGUCUCCACAGUGUCCAGGGCUGGCUGAACACCAAGGCGGCUCUUGCUGGCUGGGCAGGACUUCUCAUGGGAGGGAAAGUCACAUAGCUGGAAGGUUACUACCUUAGGGACAGAAUUUCCUUAUAGAUUAUAAUUUCCUUAUAGGAAUUCAACAACUAUAGCAGAAAAUGGAGAAUGAGAACAUUUUAUUUCUCAAUUUCAACAGUUCCUCUUCUCUUGCGUUUUCUGAGUAGACUCCUGCCUGAGGCUGCUGAGGUGCUCUGGGUUCUCACUGUUUUCAGUGCUUCCAGGUUCAGGCUUUGCUCAGUGCAUUUUCCUCGCUGCCCUUGGACUUGUGUUGUCUGGGAUGGUGGCCACUGGCCCCCAGUGGCUACUGAGCACGGAGAGCAGGGCCCGUCUGCAGUGAGGUGUGCUGCUGGGUGUAAAACACACACGAGAUUUUCC
rnacentral:lncRNA from 1 species